rnacentral:tRNA from 1 species
AAUAAUGUUCAUGGGUGAUAAAAUUAAUUGCAAAUUAAUUGAUAUGAGUUCAAUUCUCAUCAUUAUUU